GUACACAAAAAUGCACAUACUGUGAGCUCGAUGAGUAGGGCGGGACACGUGGUAUCCUGUCUGAAUAUGGGGGGACCAUCCUCCAAGGCUAAAUACUCCUGACUGACCGAUAGUGAACCAGUACCGUGAGGGAAAGGCGAAAAGAACCCCGGCGAGGGGAGUGAAAAAGAACCUGAAACCGUGUACGUACAAGCAGUGGGAGCCUCUUAAUGGGGUGACUGCGUACCUUUUGUAUAAUGGGUCAGCGACUUAUAUUCUGUAGCAAGGUUAACCGAAUAGGGGAGCCGAAGGGAAACCGAGUCUUAACUGGGCGUUAAGUUGCAGGGUAUAGACCCGAAACCCGGUGAUCUAGCCAUGGGCAGGUUGAAGGUUGGGUAACACUAACUGGAGGACCGAACCGACUAAUGUUGAAAAAUUAGCGGAUGACUUGUGGCUGGGGGUGAAAGGCCAAUCAAACCGGGAGAUAGCUGGUUCUCCCCGAAAGCUAUUUAGGUAGCGCCUCGUGAAUUCAUCUCCGGGGGUAGAGCACUGUUUCGGCAAGGGGGUCAUCCCGACUUACCAACCCGAUGCAAACUGCGAAUACCGGAGAAUGUUAUCACGGGAGACACACGGCGGGUGCUAACGUCCGUCGUGAAGAGGGAAACAACCCAGACCGCCAGCUAAGGUCCCAAAGUCAUGGUUAAGUGGGAAACGAUGUGGGAAGGCCCAGACAGCCAGGAUGUUGGCUUAGAAGCAGCCAUCAUUUAAAGAAAGCGUAAUAGCUCACUGGUCGAGUCGGCCUGCGCGGAAGAUGUAACGGGGCUAAACCAUGCACCGAAGCUGCGGCAGCGACGUUUAUGCGUUGUUGGGUAGGGGAGCGUUCUGUAAGCCU
rnacentral:rRNA from 1 species